rnacentral:rRNA from 1 species
UACGUAGGAGGCGAGCGUUAUCCGGAUUUACUGGGCGUAAAGGGCGUGUAGAUGGCUUCUUAAGUCAGCUGUGAAAUCUCCUGGCUCAACCAGGAGAGGUCAGUUGAUACUGGGCGGCUUGAGGACAGCAGAGGAAGAUGGAAUUCCCGGUGUAGUGGUGAAAUGCGUAGAUAUCGGGAGGAACACCAGUGGCGAAGGCGGUCUUCUGGGCUGUUUCUGACAUUGAGGCGCGAAAGCGUGGGGAGUGAAGCGGAUCAGAUACCCGCGUAAUCCACGCUUUAAACGGUGGAUACUAGGUAUGGGGGGUAUCGACCCUCUCCGUGCCGCAGCUAACGUUUUAAGUAUCCCACCUGGGGACUACGGCCGCAAGGUUAAAACUCAAAGGAAUUGACGGGGGCCCGCACAAGCAGCGGAGCGUGUGGUUUAAUUCGAUGCAACACGAAGAACCUUACCAAGGCUUGACAUGCCAGCGGUAGAAACCCGAAAGGGCAACGACCCCGACGUAAGUCGGGGAACUGGCACAGGUGCUACAUGGCUGUCGUCAGCUCGUGCCGUGAGGUGUUGGGUUAAGUCCCACAACGAGCGCAACCCUCGUUGCUAGUUGCAUUCUCUAGCGAUACUGCUCCGAAAAUCGGAGAGGAAGGUGGGGAUGACGUCAAGUCAGCAUGGCCCUUACGCCUUGGGCAACACACACGCUACAAUGGGCGGCACAAAGGGCUGCCACAGAGCAAUCUGAAGCUAAUCCCAAAAAAGCGCCCUCAGUUCAGAUUGUAGGCUGAAACUCGCCUGCAUGAAGUCGGAGUUGCUAGUAACCGCAGGUCAGCAUACUGCGGUGAAUACGUUCUCGGGCCU